UCACGGACAUCUUCGCGGUCUGGAAUCGUCCAGCAAAAAAAACGUCGAGGGUCACCAGUGUGGAAAUUGUAGAACUCGAAGAAAGCGACAAUUUCUCACUUUCACACACUGCA